rnacentral:rRNA from 1 species
GACGAACGCUGGCGGCGUGCUUAACACAUGCAAGUCGAACGGUGACCCAGGGCUUGCCCUGGUGAUCAGUGGCGAACGGGUGAGUAACACGUGGGCAACCUGCCCCUGACUUCGGGAUAACUCCUCGAAAGAGGAGCUAAUACCGGAUACGACCACUUCGGACAUCCGAUGGUGGUGGAAAGUUUUCGGUCAGGGAUGGGCCCGCGGCCUAUCAGCUAGUUGGUGGGGUAAUGGCCUACCAAGGCGACGACGGGUAGCCGGCCUGAGAGGGCGACCGGCCACACUGGGACUGAGACACGGCCCAGACUCCUACGGGAGGCAGCAGUGGGGAAUAUUGCGCAAUGGGCGAAAGCCUGACGCAGCGACGCCGCGUGAGGGAUGAAGGCCUUCGGUUGUAACCGUCUUUCUAGCAGGGACGAAGCGAAAGUGACGGUACCUGCAGAAGAAGCACCGGCGUAACUACGUGCCAGCAGCCGCGGU